GGCUUUCUGGAAAACAUGGGGGGUCGUGCCUUCCCGGUGGGUAUACGAGCCUAAACGGACGCGGUAAAUCGUGCUAAGGUAGCUAAAUUAUGGCCUAUUAAUUGUAGGUCCUGUGAAUGGUUUGACGAGUCUUCAACUGUCUCAAGGUUGUUUUGGUGAACUUGAAUUGGAUGUGUAAAUGCUUCCAUGGGUGAGAAAGACGAGAAGACCCCGUGAAGUUAGAAAUUCUCGCCGUAACGUUAAUUUUCUGGUGUGGUCUAUGGUUUUGAGUGUGUGACGCGUGGUUGCAGUUAUAGGCUUUAAGUAGGAGGGUGCGGUUUGUUGUGUUUUGGCUGGGGCAGCAAAGAGGCAAAAUUAGACCUCUUUUGUUUAGAAACGGGUGCGUUACGAUCCAUAAGUUUAAGUAGUGGUAUGAUUAGCAGAAGAAGUUACUCCGGGGAUAACAGCGUUAUUCGUCCUGAUAGUUCGUAUAGAUGGGCGGGUUUGCGACCUCGAUGUUGGCUCUGGUUAUCCUGAGGCUUGCCAGGGGGUCUCAAGGGGUGGGUCCGUUCGCCCAUUAAAAUCCCG
rnacentral:rRNA from 1 species